rnacentral:rRNA from 1 species
CAGCCGCCGCGGGAAUACAGAGGAUGCAAGCGUUAUCCGGAAUGACUGGGCGUAAAGCGUCUGUAGGUGGCUUUUCAAGUCCGCCGUCAAAUCUCAGGGCUCAACCCUGGACAGGCGGUGGAAACUACCAAGCUGGAGUACGGUAGGGGCAGAGGGAAUUUCCAGUGGAGCGGUGAAAUGCGUUGAGAUCGAAAAGAACACCAACAGCGAAAGCACUCUGCUGGGACGACACUGACACUAAGAGACGAAAGCUAGGGGAGCAAAUGGGACUAGAUACCCGUGUAGUCCCUGUCUCUUAUAC